rnacentral:rRNA from 1 species
UAUCAUCUAAACAGGCGUUGCAUGGUUGUCGUCAGCCCGUGGCUUCAAGCUCUUCCCCUCAGGGGAUCACGGGCAACUCCCCUCUUUAAAGUCAAUCUUUGCUUUAAAUCGUCUAGGGUUCUUCCUUUUUUAGAACCCUAGGGAAGUUGGGACCACGUCAAAUCCUUAUGGCCCUUAUAGAGUGGGCUACAAAUGUGUUACAGAGAUAUUAUACAAUGAGAUGCUAAGGUGAAAGCCUGCGCAGAUCUUUAAAAGAUAUCUGGGUUCAGAUCAUUGCCUGCAACUCGGCAAUGUGAAGGAGGAAUCGUCAGUAAUCGCAAAUCAGCACGUUGCGGUGAAACUCAUUAGCUUAUCCGGGGUACUCACCGCCUGUCACACUAGGAGAGUUUGGUUUGUUGGAAAAUGAUGCAAAUAAGUUGAAUCUAGAGGCUCCAGUCUUUCAUCAGAAAGAUUUCUUAAGAUUUAGACUCUGUUUAGUCAUUCAAAGUGGACUGAGCGAUCGUAGUGAAGUCAUAACAAGGUAGUUGUUCGGGAACGAGCAGCUGAAAAGUUUUUUC